GGGCCUGUAGCUCAGCUGGGAGAGCACCUGCUUUGCAAGCAGGGGGUCAGCGGUUCGAUCCCGCUCAGGUCCAACA
rnacentral:tRNA from 1 species